rnacentral:ncRNA from 2 species
GGAACACAGGAGGGGUGUCCUCGUUGGAGGACUGAGAUUAUACCCUAUGAACUUGAUGCGGUUAGUACUGCCGAAAGGAACUUGUGAGAUUGUUUUU